rnacentral:rRNA from 1 species
UACGGAGGGUGCAAGCGUUAUCCGGAUUUACUGGGUUUAAAGGGUGCGUAGGCGGGUUGGGAAGUCAGUGGUGAAAUACUUUCGCUUAACGAAGGAACUGCCAUUGAUACUAUCAAUCUUGAAUGUAGUGGAGGUAGGCGGAAUGCGUCAUGUAGCGGUGAAAUGCUUAGAUAUGACGCAGAACACCAAUGGCGAAGGCAGCUUGCUAGGCUACGAUUGACACUGAUGCACGAAAGCGUGGGGAGCAAACAGG